GCGUUCAUGAUAUUUCAGAACGCCGUCAUCGCACGAGGAAGCUCAUUCCGUGAUCGAAGGAGAAGGGCGUACUGAUUUGAAACAGAAGCAUUCUUGUGAGGAGCAUUUUUGGUCGCCGUUUGCACCUUCAGGACCCUUGCAAAAGACCUUGGACAAAUAUUCAACCCGAACAUGGAUGGAGCAUUCAAGAUUCAAGACAAAUUGUAAUCUUUUACUUGCUUUCUAGUUUAGGACACUAUGCACACACAAGGCUUUCUCUUGGGCUACCUGACAAUGAUACCUUUUAUUUCCUGCACUCCCUUGUACUUUACAUGUACCCCAUCCCCUUUCUGAUGUACGCAUUUACUUGCUUUCUUUUAUUGCUUGUAGACUCCUUAGGCAUUAGGAUCGUUCACCCUUUCACAAUCAAUAAUCAAACCCUUGAUUCAACGUCAAGCGGUCUUUUCAAAUCAAA